rnacentral:rRNA from 1 species
UCGUGCGAGAAAGUAUCUUCGGAUAUGAGUAGAGCGGCGGACGGGUGAGUAACGCGUAGGAAUCUACCUAGUAGAAGGGGAUAGCCCGGGGAAACCCGGAUUAAUACCGUAUACCUCCUUCGGGAGAAAGAAGGCCUCUCUUUGAAGCUUUCGCUACUAGAUGAGCCUGCGUAAGAUUAGCUUGUUGGUGAGGUAAAGGCUCACCAAGGCUACGAUCUUUAGCUGGUCUGAGAGGACGAUCAGCCACAUUGGGACUGAGACACGGCCCAGACUCCUACGGGAGGCAGCAGUGGGGAAUAUUGGACAAUGGGCGCAAGCCUGAUCCAGCCAUACCGCAUGUGUGAAGAAGGCCUUCGGGUUGUAAAGCACUUUAAGCAGGGAGAAAAAGUUAUAAGUUAAUACCUUAUAACCCUGAUGUUACCUGCAGAAUAAGCACCGGCUAAUUCCGUGCCAGCAGCCGCGGUAAUACGGAAGGUGCAAGCGUUAAUCGGAAUUACUGGGCGUAAAGCGCGCGUAGGUGGUUUGUUAAGUUGGAUGUGAAAGCCCUGGGCUCAACCUAGGAACUGCAUCCAAAACUAACUCACUAGAGUACGAUAGAGGGAGGUAGAAUUCAUAGUGUAGCGGUGGAAUGCGUAGAUAUUAUGAAGAAUACCAGUGGCGAAGGCGGCCCCCUGGAUCGAUACUGACGCUGAGGUACGAAAGUGUGGGGAGCAAACAGGAUUAGAU